rnacentral:rRNA from 1 species
UAGGGAAUCUUCGGCAAUGGACGGAAGUCUGACCGAGCAACGCCCGCGUGAGUGAAGAAGNUUUUUCGGAUCGUAAAAGCUCUGUUGUAAGAGAAAGAAUGAGUGUGAGAAGUGGAAAAUUNNACACUGUGGCGGUNUCUUACCAGAAAAGGACGGCUAACUACGUGCCAGCAGCCGCGGUAAUACGUAGGUUCCGAGCGUUGUCCGGAUUUAUUGGGCGUAAAACGAGGGCAGGCGGUUAGAUAAGUCUGGAGUUAAAGGCUGUGGCUUAACCAUNGUACGCUUUGGAAACUGUUUUACUUGAGUGCAAGAGGGGAGAGUGGAAAUCCAUGUGUAGCGGUGAAAUGCGUAGAUAUAUGGAGGAACACCGGUGGCGAAAGCGGCUCUCUGGCUUGUACUGACGCUCAGGUGCGAAAGCGUGGGGAGCAAACAGGAUUAGAUACCCCUGUAGUCCACGCNGUAANCGAUGUCGNNUUGGAGGUGUNNCUUGAGNCGUGGCUUCCGGAGCUAACGCGUUAAAUCGACCGCCUGGGGAGUACGGCCGCAAGGUUA